rnacentral:lncRNA from 1 species
CAAGCCCUCGUCCUUUUUAACAUAGAUCAGGUACUGGUCUUGAAGCAUACACAAAUUACCAAAUUGUUUAAGAAGAAUGGUAAACAACAAAGUAGCGAAGGAAAUGUUUUCUGACCGUGCGAUCUGCUUUGACAUUUGGUACACGAGCCCUCGGCCUUUCUGACAUAUAUCUAGUCAUGCGCAUUGAAGCUCACUACUACAAAAUUAAGGCAACCCACCAUCUUUAACCACCUAAACUAACACAUCUUUUUCUAAAGAAUAAGAAACUAUCGCAUCUGGCACGCAUUCCACCUAACCUUCUAUUUAGAGAAAUGUUAAGUUGGUACCAAAUUGAUAAGCACCUCCACCAUGGUGUUCAGACACCAGACGGACUACACUGCCUCCAACGAGGCAGCGACGAAGCGCCUCACGUCGGAUCCAUGCGUCAUUUGGGAGGACGCAAUGGAUUCCCGCUGGAUCGAGUCUGACCGUUGUUGGGCAGCCUCCUCCCGUGAGUGGCGCAGCGCAACGCGGACCGCCAUCUCCUCCUCGGGUUCUCGUGGGAUGAGUUCCCAACAGUCAACGAAUCAGGAGGUAUAAGACUCGGAUCCGCUACCUGCCAUGUCGAAGACGGACAAAGAUCACACGAAGUAAGCUUGUGGGCGGAGGGAAGUGGAGGGUAGGGGAGUGGACUGGAGUGCAGCUAGGGUUUCAUCCAGAGUGGAGAUAGGGCCGAAUAAUAUAUGUGGGAUCGAAUAUUUACACUGAUAAACUUUUACAUUUAAUUUAUGUUUUCUUAAAAAAAGGAGGAAUGUUUUUAAAGGUAUGGACAUUUCAAAUAUUUCAUAAACAAUUUUUUGAAUUAUAUAGUUUUUGUACAAUUACGUGAAUAACAUUUUAAAUUUCAUGAACAUUUUUUAAUGGUAGGAAUUUAAUGAAAUAUUAUGCAAACUAAAUUUGUACAUUUCAUGUUUUGCUAAAAAAAAGCGAGGAACACAAUGUAAACUUGUGGACAUUUUUCAAAUAUCAUGAAAAAAUUAAGAAAUAUUUUUAAAAAAAAUUAUACAUGUAAGCUCUAUGUUAUUGAAGGCUCUAGUACAGAACACCCUUUUUGCUAGGUGUACCCAUUCUUUUUGAAGUCAUUUACGUGUACAUAACUGUACGAGUCAGGUCCUAAGCAUCAUAUCAUAAUUAGUGCACAAUUAAAUUAGUAGUACAAAUCCUUCUAUUACCGGCAUACUAUACUUGGACUUCUUUUUUUUGCGGGUCUACUAUACUUGGACUUUGACUACUCACGAAAUCUCUCUUUAUCAAUGAUACAUUUGUUUGGUCAACAUUGGUAAUCAAGAUAUGCUAUGUGACAUAAAAGAUAUGCUUAUGAAAUUCUCUAGUGUACUUGUACCUCUUCCGGAAGUUGAAUUUUUUCAUGCUGAUGAUGCAAAUGCUGGUCCAUUACAUUUCUACAACAAAGUGAAUAUACAUUUUUCCCGGCACCACCUAUCUUGUUUUGAUAAUUUUGGAUAGGCCGCUUGACUUCACACUUAAAACUGCAAUCUUAUAUCUUAUCUAUCUAUCUAUCUAUCUAUCUAUCUAUCUAUCUAUAUCUAUCUAUCUAUCUAUCUAUCUAUCUAUCUAUAUCUAUACCUGUACUAAUUUGUGACUUCCAAAAAAUUCCCAUGUUAAUUAGUAAUUAGGAG